CGGGUUUUUAUUUUUUUAAUAUAUUUUUAAACUAUUUAAGGAUAUUGAAGUACAAUUUAUUUACAUGUUUUUAGGUUGUUACAAUCUUUGACGGACAUAGGAUAGUCCGACUCCUUCCCAUUCUAGAAAUUUAUAAUAUCUUAAUUGUACUAAAGCCCUAAAAACACAAUAUCCGAAAAAACGGAUCGUAUUGUAACGGGUACUCUGAUGUACUUGUCGAUCUGAUUUUGUAAGCAAAAUCUAUUUUUUUUUGCACAAAUGAAACAUUAUUAUUGAUUAUUCUUAUUACUUUUUAUAACUUGUGCAAUUUGUUUUCAAAAUUGUAUAACUUGUGCAAUUUUUUAUUUUAGAUGAAUUUGGACUAAUAAUAUAUGUACCACUUGUUUUGUUAUGAUUUUUUUUCUAAAUUUUAAAACAUAUUGAAAAUUUUAAUUCAAAAAAAAUUAUAUGAAAUGUUAUUAAUAAUAAAUUUUUUUUCUGAUAAUUAUAUUCUCUAACUAUUUAUAUGGGACUAAACUAAUUAAGAUAAUAAUAUAUAUAUAAAAUAGUGUUUUUUUAAUAUUUAAAAUUUCAGUUAUGGAGUUUUAAUUUUUUCACAAAAAAACAACAACCAUAAGAUGCUAUAUAAAAUAUAGUAUUCAUUAACUUUCUUUAUAUAAAAAAUGUAAAUGUCAAUUAUUUACAAAAUUGGGCUAUACCAUAAACUUCCUAAAUUAUUUACACAUUACAUUAAAUCUGGCCCAUAUAAAAAUUGUAAUCAAUGUCCAUUAGCCCAACUAAUUACUCCGGGAAAGGGUUUGUUAUCUAACAUGCUAAUAAAAAACUAAAACAAUUUUUUUUUUUGCUUCUUUUUUCUCGAUCUGUCGCUGCCUCUCUCUCUUUCUUAACUCUUUGUCUUCUUCGUGUUCUUCAAUCCUUCAAACACCUAACUCAAAUACAGAAUCUGAACUACUUUGAUUUCAUGUUCACUCUCAAUCCAGAUUAAAUACAAUCGAUCUAUUGUAUUACAGGUUGAUGCAACAUAUAAAAUGGAGCUUUCUUUGAAACAUCAUCUCCACCAUGUUUCAUCUCCGCCAUGUAACUGAUUCUGACAAUAAGCAGAUAAGUAUAAAUUUUUUAUGUUUGUUUGUUCUGUAAAAUCUCAUUUAUUAUCCUUCUUUCUCAAUUCAUUGUGUUUGUUUGUUCUGUAAAAUGUUUGAGAAUAAUUUAUAUGUUUUAUUUGAUUUAUGAGGAAAACGAAGAUUCAAUCCUGAAUUCUAACAAUUCCCUAUACGCAUUUGUCGUAGAGAACAAAGACCAGACUCGAGAUGACCAAUUCCAUAUACGCAUUUGUCGACCAACUGGAACAAAACAAUGGUUAGUAAAUUCUACUUUUUAAUUUUUGAUAUUACGUGAAUGAAUUAUCUAUUGGUUUAUUAGUUUCAUUGUAUUGAUUUAAAUUAUUUGAAACGGGUUUGGGUAUCUAUUGAAAAAAGUACAUAUAUGAUGUGGAGUGUAUACCUCUGUAUUCGCUGAUUUUUGAAAACCUUAUCAAGCAUAUAAUACUUUCAUCAUUAGCUUCUUCCACCGAUUCAAAUUGCUCAGCAUAUUUUCCCAAUAAGCAACAUGCCACUUCAUGACCACUGAGAGAGAUACCAAAAUUUAUUGAAACUUAGGAUACAAAAUGUUAAAAUAAUUAUUAAAAGCUAUUACUAAAACUACCUUGUAUCACGCAAACGGAAAAGAACUAUUUUUGUGUCAUUUCCCUUAGCUUGGACCAUAGCUACUGGUCCAAGAUCAGUAACAUGUCCCAUGAUAUUUGUUUUAAUAACAAAUAAAGAUUUACUUUAUUAUAAUAGUUAACAACUAUAUAUAUACAAAAAGUAAAAAUCGUUAUGUACACAUACCAAUUAGAAAAUGGGGUUUCAGCUUUCCAUUACCAAUCUCCUCGUAGUUAGCUAGAUUAAGGAAGUGAUUAUCAUUCCGAUAAUCAGAAGGGGUUAUUGAUGUGUCUCCUAUGAUUGUCAUCUUGUACUGCUGCGUCUUAGGUCGAUAUUGACCCACUCCUACCCCAGUUAUUUUCACGGUGUCAAUGACCUUCCAUUCACCAACACGUAGUUUGGUCAACCAGGACGCACUCAAGAAUAUCUCUUCCAUAGCUGGUGGUUUGUUUCCAGGAAUGAAGCAGUUUCAGAGUGAGACGCCAUUCAUCUCUGAACAGUUUGAGAUCCUUAAUAAGACAUAUUUUUCUUUCGUUUGACAUGUUUGCUGUGAGACCUCGAUGCUAAAGUCUUUGAAUGUAGUCUCAGUAUAUAUAGAUGGGUGAUGAAAUAUAGGUUAAGCUGUAUUUAUGGCGAGGAUAUAUGUAUCAUCGAUAUUUUUUCCUUUCUGUUUUUGACGAAAUCAUAUAUAUUGUAAUAUAUGUUAUUCAAACUUAGAUACUA